rnacentral:rRNA from 1 species
CCCUUAGAUGUUCGGGGCCGCACGCGCGCUACACUGAAGGAAUCAGCACGUCUUUCUCCUUGUCCGAAAGGACUGGGUAACCCGCUGAACCUCCUUCGUGCUAGGGAUUGGGGCUUGUAAUUCUUCCCCAUGAACGAGGAAUUCCCAGUAAGCGCGAGUCAUAAGCUCGCGUUGAUUACGUCCCUGCCCUUUGUACACACCGCCCGUCGCUACUACCGAUUGGAUGGUUUAGUGAGAUCCUCGGAUUGUUCCCGGAGCGGCCUCUGGUCGUGCCGGAGUGCCGAAAAGAAUGUCGAACUUGAUCAUCUAGAGGAAGUAAAAGUCGUAACA